rnacentral:misc_RNA from 1 species
AAGUCGUAACAAGGUCUCCGUAGGUGAACCUGCGGAGGGAUCAUUAACACGUUUUUUAAACGUUUUUCAACCAAAAAACCGGAAACGAAAAAGUGUUGAAAAGGCAACAAUGGCAUUCAUUUGCCCUGUUUUCUUUUCCCUUUUUUUCUUCUCAACCCUUUUCCAAUCAUAACAAUGAAUUGACCUGUACUAUCAUUCCUCUUCACAGAGUGAAUGAAAGUUGAUAUCAUAAUUGAGAGCACAACUCUUAGCAACGGAUAUCUUGGUUCUC